rnacentral:rRNA from 1 species
UCGUCACACUAUCAUUAACUGAAUCCAUAGGUUAAUGAGGCGAACCGGGGGAACUGAAACAUCUAAGUACCCCGAGGAAAAGAAAUCAACCGAGAUUCCCCCAGUAGCGGCGAGCGAACGGGGAGGAGCCCAGAGCCUGAAUCAGCAUGUGUGUUAGUGGAAGCGUCUGGAAAGGCGCGCGAUACAGGGUGACAGCCCCGUACACAAAAGCGCAUGUGCUGUGAGCUCGAUGAGUAGGGCGGGACACGUGGUAUCCUGUCUGAAUAUGGGGGGACCAUCCUCCAAGGCUAAAUACUCCUGACUGACCGAUAGUGAACCAGUACCGUGAGGGAAAGGCGAAAAGAACCCCGGCGAGGGGAGUGAAAAAGAACCUGAAACCGUGUACGUACAAGCAGUGGGAGCACAGGUUUACCUGUGUGACUGCGUACCUUUUGUAUAAUGGGUCAGCGACUUAUAUUCUGUAGCAAGGUUAACCGUAUAGGGGAGCCGGAGGGAAACCGAGUCUUAACCGGGCGUUAAGUUGCAGGGUAUAGACCCGAAACCCGGUGAUCUAGCCAUG